UACGAAGGGGGCUAGCGUUGCUCGGAAUCACUGGGCGUAAAGCGCACGUAGGCGGAUCGUUAAGUCGGAGGUGAAAUCCUGGAGCUCAACUCCAGAACUGCCUUCGAUACUGGCGAUCUUGGAGUCCGGGAGAGGUGAGUGGAACUCCGAGUGUAGAGGUGAAAUUCGUAGAUAUUCGCAAGAACACCAGUGGCGAAGGCGGCAUCCUGGACUGGUACUGACGCUCAGGAGCGAAAGCGUGGGGAGCGAUCCGG
rnacentral:rRNA from 1 species